rnacentral:rRNA from 1 species
GAUGAACGCUAGCGGCAGGCUUAACACAUGCAAGUCGAGGGGUAGAGGAAGCUUGCUUCCUUGAGACCGGCGCACGGGUGCGUAACGCGUAUACAAUCUACCUUUUACAGAGGGAUAGCCCCAGAGAAAUUUGGAUUAAUACCUCAUAGUAUUUUCGGAUCGCAUGAUUUGAUUAUUAAAGUUCCAACGGUAAAAGAUGAGUAUGCGUCCCAUUAGCUAGAUGGUAAGGUAACGGCUUACCAUGGCAAUGAUGGGUAGGGGUCCUGAGAGGGAGAUCCCCCCCACUGGUACUGAGACACGGACCAGACUCCUACGGGAGGCAGCAGUGAGGAAUAUUGGACAAUGGCGCAAGCCUGAUCCAGCCAUGCCGCCGUGCAGGAUGACGGUCCCUAUGGAUUGUAAACUGC